GCCAGGCAUGGCGGCUCAUGCCUGUAAUCCCAGCACUUUGGGAGGCUGAGGUGGGCGGAUCGCCUGAGGUCAGGAGUUCCAGACCAGCCUGACCAACAUGGUGAAACCCCGUCUCUA
rfam:Homo sapiens chromosome 14, GRCh38 reference primary assembly.